GGAGAAGGUCUCUCCAUAGCCAUUUCACAUAAUAUCGGGAUUGAGGUGGGAUCGAGAAAAAUUAAUUGGGUGCAGGCACUUUUACCAGCCGUAUUUGUGAAGAAGCCCUAAAAGCAUUAAGAGAGAGCAUAAGAUGCUAUUUGAAGGAAGCUCAAAUUCAUGAUCAAAGUUGUUGUUUUGGUUUGUGGAUAGCCUAAAACCAAUGAGAGACACACAAUGAGAGAGAGCAUUGGGGUAAUUAGAAGAAAGGAAGAAAUAGAGAGGCAUCGGGAUAGGUGGAAGGAAGGGAGAGAUGAGAGAGGCAUGGUGAUUUUAUUUACGGGCAUAAAAGUUAAUUUAUUUAAAAAAUAGUGUCGUAUCAGUUUUAUAACCAGUUUAAAAAAGACUUUUGUACUGAUUAAAUUAAAUAUUAAAAAAUUUUAUAUUACAAAUUAAAAUUUUAAUCCCUUAUUUUACAUAUCUCUAAGUUGAGAUAACAUUUGUAUAAUUUACUCACUUUAGUUAUAACACUUCGAGCCUCAGCCCACAAACAAUACAAAGGCCCAAAGACCUGACACUAAAAGACCCUGGGACUACACGGGUUGAAUCAUCUCUAGCAAUUAGGUUACUAGUUGCCACCGCCAUAGCUAGCAAGGAGAACAUCUAUUAGAUAGGAAAUUGCAAGAAGAUAUGAAAAGCACAUCCUCUAGGAAACUCAACAGAAGCAUAUAUAAAGCUUCCUAGAAAAAGCUUGUAACCCGUAUGGAUGAGAAGUGAUGCAGCAAAACUCAGACAAUCUUGGAAUGGGAACUUUAGCCGAAAAAACCAGAAAGAGGCAUAGCAAGCUCGAGCUUUUCAGUCUCAUGUAACUUAUAAUGGAAGUAAUGACGACGUAACCUUAGAUUUGCCAACCAGCAGUGAGAUCCCCUACAAACAACUUCAGGUGGACAUGGAGAUGCAUAUCUACAUCUAAUCCCUCACCAUAAAGCAUGUAUCUGCUAACCAUAACAAAAAUCACUCUUACCUAUGAACAACCCAACCAACAAGGGAGAGGAAGGACCACCAUCGGUUGGGGGAGACUGAGAGACGAACGACCAAGAGAGAAGGACACUCUCACUCAUCAGAGAGACAAGCUCUCACUCUACUAAACACAUAAUCAAAGAUAUUUGGGGAGAAAUUAAUGGCCAAGAGGUCAAAUCUCCCACUUGGAGUUGAAA
rnacentral:misc_RNA from 1 species